rnacentral:lncRNA from 1 species
UAUUUUUUAAUCUAUUGCUAGAAGAUUCUUCUUUGGCCUUUCAAUCCAUUCAAAAAUUUACUUCUUUGUAAUCCUAUCACUAUCUUCUAAGAAAAACUCAUCUUUCAAUGCUUGAGAAAAUUUCUCCUAUAAACCUCCAAAAUGUCCUAUAAAAAAAUUUACUUGAUUUUUUAUCUUUAGUAUCAUAGCUAGUUCAAAUAAUUGAGCCAUCUCUCUUUUUGGAAUACACUUCAACUCCAUUUCUUUCACAUAGCACCUUAAAUACUUUAUAAUGUCUUUUCCUUCAAGUUGAUCAAUCUUGUCUACAACUACUUGUAAUGCUUUGUUUGCCAUACCUUCUUUGCAAUCUUUAACCUAUUGCUAUUUCAUGAAUAAGACAAAAGCCUCAAAUAUGCUUAUAGAAUUGGGAUCAAAAUACAUACCUUAUCCUCUACUAAUACCGCCACUUAUAGCUUUAAUUGAAGCACCAUCCAUAUCUCUUCCUUCAACUCUCUUACCUUCUUUUU